CUGGUGCAUCAUGGCAAUUUGUUGCGCUGCUACCUAGCAUAACCCCUCAAAGUUAGACGUAUCACCUGCUGCGACAUGGCGAGGUUGGUUUGGAUUCAAAGCAUCCCAGAGCUAUUGUGCUUUGUGCUACGGAGGAGAAAGCUAAUGAGUGUUUUAGUGCUGCAAAGUAUAUCAUGGAGAUUGCGGA